GUCUAAGGGAGGUUGGAGGAUUUACGAACCAAGCUGUUAAAACCUGCGUUAUAUCUAUUGGAAUUUUAUAACCCAAAAACUGGAUUUUCAGUUAUUUUCUUUUAAGAAAAAGUUACUAAUGUACUUCAAAUGAAACUAGUAUUUUUAUCUCGUGGUAUUGGCUAUUUCUAGGAUUAUUUGGAGAAGAUGUUUCGAAUAGUCGAUAUAAAAGUAUACCCAAAAUAUGAGAAAUCUCAGAGAAAAAAAGCCAAUUUAUUGAAAGAACCGUUUGUUCCAAGAAUCACUAAUUUUAUCCAGAUUUCAUAGAAUUUGGAGGAAAAACUUUUUACCUUGGCGAAAUUCGUAGGAAGAAGUAAACUAGACCUUCUCUCCCUUUGGUAAAAGAGCUGCACGAUUCUUUGUGCUGCCUGUUGUUGUCUAUCGUUUCUAUUUUGCUAAUAUAAAUAUAAAAACCUCCUUGCGCCUUAUGAUCCAGUUGUUCGACUCAACUUGAAAAAAAGUAAAUACAAAAAUGGGUUAGUUACUGCAUUGUUAUGAUAUCCUUUCAAUUAUUCGCAUAUCUAAGAAAGCAUAUGCAUAUAUAUCCUUAGUGAAAGAGAAGUAUGAGACGUCUCACUAGCAAGGAUGCUUUCAAAAUUGGAAUCUAUCCAAGGUGCCAUGUACUUAAAUAGUAAAGAAUAAUGAUUGAGAAUUAAAUUGAGCGAUUGGUACGAUCAUGGACACUUGUCUUAGACAUUUGUCUGAGAGGAGUGAAAUUGUAAGGAUAUGGACCUAAAUCUCAAUCAUCAAAAAAUUUGUUCCAAUGCCUUGGGCAUUAAGCUGGGAAUUUUUUCUGAAGCCCGCUGAUUUAGAUGUGUUAUUUUUUGAAGCGAUUGGGGAUUGACCCUAACGCCUUGGACGCUAUCACUAAUGGUUGUAUUUCCAAAGAUCCCAUUGACAAGGAGGAGCUAUUACUUUUGCUGCAAAAUCUUACAACCACUUAAGGUUUUUACUUGGUACUAUUAAAGCUGAAUACUUACUUGUCUACAAGUUCUAUCCGCAAAGCCAGCCUUCAUUGUUAGUGCGUAUAAAGUGCUUUGAUUUGUUUGUUCAAUCGCUAAAACGUUUAUGGUUUAGAUAGGUAUUCAUUAAAAGCAAAAUGCCGAAAAACUGAACUUGGAAAAGUUAGUUACAAAAAAAGGCCUCGGGUGUGCCUACACUAAUAGAAAGCGAAACCGACUGUUAGAUCAUGGUAUUAUACCCGGACCUUAAUUAUGCAAUGACACUAAAAUGAAAUUAGUAAAUUUUGAACACAUCCUGUCUACGAAGUAUUUGGGAAAUUAUUGACUUACCACAUGUAAGGAACCUUGGGGGUAUAAUUCUUAACAGUCUUGUUAAGAGUUUCAGAAGGCUUGUUGCCAGUGUUAACGACGGAGGAAGAAACAGUGUUAGCCAUUGAGUCCAUUGUUAAGUAAAGAAAGUAAAAAAACGAAAUGUCAACAAAAAGGGUAAAAGACUUGAGAGUGAAUUGAAAACUGUUGAAUUCAAUGGAGAAAAUACGGAAUAAUCCUGUCCUUUAAUACAUUUUUUAAUUCCCUAAAGUUUUAAAAAAUCUGAGACUUCUUUGUUGGUUGGGCCUAUUGUCUAGUUAAUUGUUACAACUGAUGAGGGAGAAAUUAUCUUUGUACAAAUUAAAUAUCGGUUGCAGGGCAAUUUAAUGAUAACUUUUGAUAAAGAACAAUAGGUUUUAUUAGUAUGAUAAGACAUUAUCCCCCUCAACAUAUGAAAAUUUCUAGGGUUUC